rnacentral:rRNA from 1 species
UGGGGAAUUUUGGACAAUGGGCGCAAGCCUGAUCCAGCCAUGCCGCGUGCAGGAUGAAGGCCUUCGGGUUGUAAACUGCUUUUGUACGGAACGAAAAGGUUUGGCCUAAUAAGCUGAGCUCAUGACGGUACCGUAAGAAUAAGCACCGGCUAACUACGUGCCAGCAGCCGCGGUAAUACGAAGGGGGCUAGCGUUGUUCGGAAUUACUGGGCGUAAAGCGCACGUAGGCGGGUAUUUAAGUCAGGGGUGAAAUCCCGGAGCUCAACCUGGGAACUGCCUUUGUGACUGCAUAGCUAGAGUACGGUAGAGGGGGAUGGAAUUCCGCGUGUAGCAGUGAAAUGCGUAGAUAUGCGGAGGAACACCGAUGGCGAAGGCAAUCCACUGGACCUGUACUGACGCUCAUGCACGAAAGCGUGGGGAGCAAACA